rnacentral:lncRNA from 1 species
AGGACGCAGCCUAAUUAAAAUCUUUGAAACUCUCUCUAAGGGAUGAGCAAAGAAACCAUCCUUACUGCCACUCAACCCACUUCUUAAAAUUCCCCCCAAGCCGCCAAACAUCACAACCAAUAACUCCAUUAAUGGAGAAUCAAGGGCCAGAUCUAAUUUGCCUACUUAGUGUAUGAGUUGAAUUUAAUCGAUUACGUCCCUAAGUCAGUACGAUCGAUCGCUGAUCACAUACGAGCCGAGAUAAAGGGACAAGUUGAGGAUAAUAGAAAGAAUGACUUCACAAUAUCAUCAGUCCCUCUAUAGGACGUACGUUG